AUUGAACGCUGGCGGCAUGCCUUACACAUGCAAGUCGAACGGUAACAGGUUAAGCUGACGAGUGGCGAACGGGUGAGUAAUACAUCGGAACGUGCCCAGACGUGGGGGAUAGCUCGGCGAAAGCCGGAUUAAUACCGCAUGUGAUCUGAGGAUGAAAGCGGGGGACCGUAAGGCCUCGCGCGUUUGGAGCGGCCGAUGGCAGAUUAGGUAGUUGGUGGGGUAAAGGCUUACCAAGCCUACGAUCUGUAGCUGGUCUGAGAGGACGACCAGCCACACUGGGACUGAGACACGGCCCAGACUCCUACGGGAGGCAGCAGUGGGGAAUUUUGGACAAUGGGCGAAAGCCUGAUCCAGCAAUGCCGCGUGCAGGAUGAAGGCCUUCGGGUUGUAAACUGCUUUUGUACGGAACGAAAAGGCGCCUACUAAUACUGGGUGUUGAUGACGGUACCGUAAGAAUAAGCACCGGCUAACUACGUGCCAGCAGCCGCCGUAAAAC
rnacentral:rRNA from 1 species